CCUUGUAGGUGGGGAGCCGGGGCUUGAACCUGGGUCCUUGCAUGUGAACUUAACCGAGUGCAUGAACAUUUGGCUCUUCUUUCGUUUUGUUUGUGCAUCAAAUUCGGACAAGAAGCAAACAGGGUCUUGGACAUUCAGUCGAAAUACUUGAAACAUGACACUACUUGGCACUGAAUGUCGUUGACGAGAAGCUGGGAAGGAGUGACUUCUCUGCAAGUCACAGCCCCACUAGCCUCCCCCCCCCCCACCAUUGACUUGUCAGUCAGGACCUCAAGUUUUGAAACAGUCAGGAAAAAAAGAACAAUCAAGGAUCUGCUGACCUCAGGAUGCAAACACUGUUCUAAUGUGAAGACAUCCUUGGUGAGACUUACCCAACAAUAUUUCAUCCGAUCAUCAUUUAGCCAAACCACAACAAUACUCCUGAGACCUCUUCAGUUUCACUGACAGCAUCUGUCAUUCCAGCGACUGCAAAUGGGGUUCUCUUGCAACGGUGCUGGUGAGAUGCUCUGUUGCCUGAGAGGAAAAUG